rnacentral:rRNA from 1 species
GACGAACGCUGGCGGCGUGCCUAAUACAUGCAAGUCGAGCGCAGGAAGCCGUCUGAACCCUUCGGGGGGACGACGAUGGAAUGAGCGGCGGACGGGUGAGUAACACGUAAAGAACCUGCCCAUAGGUCUGGGAUAACCACGAGAAAUCGGGGCUAAUACCGGAUGUGUCAUCGGACCGCAUGGUCCGCUGAUGAAAGGCGCUCCGGCGUCGCCCAUGGAUGGCUUUGCGGUGCAUUAGCUAGUUGGUGGGGUAACGGCCCACCAAGGCGACGAUGCAUAGCCGACCUGAGAGGGUGAUCGGCCACGCUGGGACUGAGACACGGCCCAGACUCCUACGGGAGGCAGCAGUAGGGAAUCUUCCACAAUGGACGAAAGUCUGAUGGAGCAACGCCGCGUGAACGAUGAAGGCUUUCGGGUCGUAAAGUUCUGUUGUAAGGGAAGAACAAGUGCCGCAGGCAAUGGCGGCACCUUGACGGUACCUUGCGAGAAAGCCACGGCUAACUACGUGCCAGCCGCCGCCGUAA